AAAAACCAUCCACUUUCAUUAAUUUUUAAAUCAGAUCUGAUAUUGGUAAAUUCAAUACACCAACUAUACACGAAGUACUGUCACAUACAUCAGUUUUACCUGAUCAAAAUUCACUCUAUUGGAACCUUUUUGUAAAUGAAAAGUAGGAAUAAAGAUUGUAACGCGAAGAAGAUCAAGAAGACGUACGAACCCAUUAUAGUCUGUAACAACAAAAUCGAAUAAUUAUUAUUCCAGUUAAUCACAUCAUGUAUAAACGUUUUCAUCCUAAAUUUUGUUCCUGUUUACUCUUUUUUUAAACACAUACUUGUUUAAUGUUUAUAUAAACAAUGUUUUUGAUUAAUGUUAUUAAAAACACAAUUGCACUAAUUUAUUUAAAAAACUAACAAGAUCAGAAGAGAUAUUGGAAAAAAACAUGGCAUGAACUAUAGUAAAAAAUGAAAAAGAAUGGGCAAAUUUUAUUUAUGGAAAAAAAGAAGGAACUUAUCUUGUCUUGUCUUUGAGUAGACAGGACUAACAAAUCUAAAACUCAAAGAUGAUUCAAAAAGUCUAAUACUUUUUUUUUAAUUGGAAGUUAUUAAUUUCAAUUAUUAUGUUUAUUAACUAAUCUAGUUCUUGGUAUUUUUUUAUAUAUAUUUUUUCUCGGGUUCACCUUAAAGAAAUACCACAGUAAAUGAUUGUUCAAUUUCAUUAAUUGUAGCUUCAGAAAUAUUUUCAACUUCCUCAAUCAUAAGUGGCUUUUUUUCUAUAAGCAGGAAAGAAGUAUGACCUUGUUACAAAUCUCAAUUUCCUGUACAUUUUUUUUAAUUAGACGUAUUGGUCUUAUCGCCUUGUUUCUAAAUAUAUGUUUUAUUGCCAAGUUAAUUUUAUCAACCUUCACUUUUCCUUAUAAUUCGAAGGUCGUUUGAAUUAAAACCGCUAAUAAAAAUUCAUUUUGUGACGUGAACAUAAAAAAAAUAAA